rnacentral:misc_RNA from 1 species
CCAUUUAAAAAAAAAAGCAUGUUAGACUAUCCAUUUAACAAAAAAAGUAAAAAGGAAAAAAAAACAAAUAAAGUGCUGGAAGUCUAUUAUUGCUGGCGUGAAGAAUGGACCAUAGAAGGUGAGAAUAAGAGAAGAAAGAGAGAUUGAAGAAAAGAAAAUUAAAAAGAAAAAAAAAACCCUGGAUUGCAUUAGGUGUCGGACCUGCUUGCAUGUUGUGCAGCGCAGGUGAAAGGAGAAGAAAAUAGAAGAAGAGAA